CCAAUCAAACUUGGAGAUAGCUCGUACUCCCCGAAAUAUAUUUAGGUAUAGCGUCUGGUUUUGUCUGUCCGGAGGUAGAGCACUGAUUAGGCUAGGGCCCUUCACCGGGUACCAACCCUAGACAAACUCCGAAUGCCGGCACAGAGCCACCAGGCAGUCAGUGGCAGGGUGAUAACGUCCUGUCGCGAGAGGGAAACAACCCAGACCACCAGCUAAGGUCCCUAAUAUCAGUUAAGUGGGAAACGAUGUGGGAAGGCUUAGACAGCUAGGAGGUUGGCUUAGAAGCAGCCAUUCCUUUAAAGAGUGCGUAAUAGCUCACUAGUCAAGCGACUCGGCGUCGAUAAUAAGCGGGCAUAAGCUGUUUGCCGAAGCUGUGGGAA
rnacentral:rRNA from 18 species